UUCAUGUUCCCCCAAAUUGAGAGUGAAUUCUAAGGAACAACAACAGAGGUUAAGAGCAGGAAAUAUUUAUUGGGGGAAGGAAAGCUUCCAUCUAGGAGAGACAGAGGGGCCCCAGAAACUGGGUUACCCAUGAGCCCACUUCCCAGGGGACGCUUUUCAAGUAAAAUUACAAGAGCUUUUCAGGAUGAAGUACCUUGCCCUGUCCUUUCCCCGUGUGAGGAUCGGGAAGAGAUGCCUCUUCCAUUUGUUCCCUUGGGGCCUCCCUGGAAUUGGGGCUCCUGGGUGCUUCUAACCCUGAACACACCAUACAGGAUCCUCAAAGUUCCUCCAGAACUUUGGACCAGAGUGCCUUAACGCCAUAUUAAAUCAAGAGACUGUUCUAGGGACUCUGCUGAUGUCCAGCCCGUGACAAUUCCUCUUCACCCACAGGACGGACACCUUACUAGAGCAAAGCAAGUAAGAUAACGGGCAAAUCCAGAGACACGUGUACGGCUCCAGGUUCACCACGUCGCUGCCUGUGAUCACUUCCUGUCUCUCCCAGCCUGGACACAUGGCAAAUGCAGGAAGGACACGGCGCAAGACCCUGCUGGAGAGCAGCUGUUCACGUCGCGGUGAGCAGGAAGCUGAGAGCGUGCAGCAGGAGCCGGGAAGGGAGAAACCACCAUCCGGGUCGCUUCCCAGCAGGCCGCACCUCAUAAGAGCCGCAGCCCUCAGCCCUGUAAUCCAGUACCUUCCAGAGGUCCUACCUGUGAUUCCGUGUGGGUUGGGGGCACCCUAGAUACAAACCGUAACACUCUCCUACCCCGUCUUCCGGAUCUUCCCUUCCAGGCCCUGCCAACCUGAACUUCACUUAAGCCCAGUUCCCCAGGGAGGAGGAGCUUGGAGGUGGGGAGGGAUGGAUGUGGGUAGGAAGAGCCUACUUUUGGAGAUUCCCAAAACUUCCUGGGCGGCGGGUGGAGUGGACGCUGAGGAGAGGUAAGUUGUCUUUACCGCAGGAACGGAUUUGGAUUAUAAAGCAGGGAAACAGGGUUCUUGAUCAAUAUUUAAUAAUAGUGACUUAAAAUUCAGAUAAAUGUCAGAUCCUUUUUCUUGGUCAUCUCAGUUCCUGCGGAGGAUCAGAUCUCCUAUAUCCUAGUACAGAGUCUUGUCUUCCCUGGAAUUGUGCCCUUUGCACUAAACUACUUAGAGAAUAGAUAUUGAUCAGU